rnacentral:tRNA from 3 species
UGACGUGUAGCUCAACGGCAGAGCACCCGGCUGUUAACCGGACGGUUGAAGGUUCGAAUCCUUCCACGUCAGCCA